AGUUUGAUCAUGGCUCAGGAUGAACGCUAGCGGCGAGCUUAACACAUGCAAGUCGAGGGGCAACAUGAAAUGUUUUAUUACAUUUUGAUGGCGACCGGCAAACGGGUGAGUAAUACAUAUGUAAUCUACUUUUUUCUAGAGAAUAGCCUGAGGAAACUCGGAUUAAUACUCUAUAAUAUAUUUUAUCAUAAGAUAAUUUAUUAAAGUUUUUAACGGAAAAAAAGGAGCGUAUGUCCGAUUAGCUAGUUGGUAAGAUAAUAGCUUACCAAGGCAAUUAUCGGUAGGGGGCCUGAGAGGGUGUACCCCCACACUGGUACUGAGACACGGACCAGACUCCUACGGGAGGCAGCAGUGAGGAAUAUUAGUCAAUGGAGGCAACUCUGAACUAGCUACGCCGCGUGCAGGAAGACGAUUCGAAGAAUUGUAAACUGCUUUUGUUAGGGAAUAAAAAAUUUUAUUCGUAAAAUAUUGAAUGUACCUAACGAAUAAGUAUCGGCUAACUCCGUGCCAGCAGCCGCGGUAAUACGGGGGAUACAAGCGUUAUCCGGAUUUAUUGGGUUUAAGGGUGCGUAGGUGGUUUAUUAAGUCAUUAAUGAAAUUUUGCAGCUUAACUGUUAAAAGUGUUAUUGAAACUGAUAAACUUGAGUAAUAUUGGAGUAGCUGGAAUGUGUGGUGUAGCGGUGGAAUGCAUAGAUAUCACACAGAACACCAAUCGCGAAGGCAGGUUACUAAAUAUAUACUGACACUGAGGCACGAAAGCGUGGGGAGCAAAUAGGAUUAGAUACCCUAGUAGUCCACGCUGUAAACGAUGAUCACUAGUUGUUGGAUUUUUUUUUUAAUAAUUCAGUGACUAAGCGAAAGUGAUAAGUGAUCCACCUGGGGAGUACGAUCGCAAGAUUGAAACUCAAAGGAAUUGACGGGGGCCCGCACAAGCGGUGGAGCAUGUGGUUUAAUUCGAUGAUACGCGAGGAACCUUACCAAGGUUUGAAUGUAUUAUGAAUAAAAUGGAAACAUUUUAGUUCUUCGGACAUAAUACAAGGUGCUGCAUGGUUGUCGUCAGCUCGUGCCGUGAGGUGUAAGGUUAAGUCCUUUAACGAGCGCAACCCCUAUUAUUAGUUACCAUCAGUUUGGCUGGGGACUCUAAUAAAACUGCCUACGUAAGUUGUGAGGAAGGUGGGGACGACGUCAAAUCAUCACGGCCUUUAUAUCUUGGGCUACACACGUGCUACAAUGGUUAGUCCAAUGGGCUGCUACUAAGUAAUUAGAUGCAAAUCUCUAAAGCUAAUCUCAGUUCGGAUUGGAGUCUGCAACUCGACUCUAUAAAGUUGGAAUCGCUAGUAAUCGCGCAUCAGCAAUGGCGCGGUGAAUACGUUCCCGGGCCUUGUACACACCGCCCGUCAAGCCAUGGAAGUCGGUGGUACCUGAAGUUGGUGACCAUAACAGGAACUACCUAAGGUAAAAUCGAUAACUGGGGCUAAGUCGUAACAAGGUAGCCGUAC
rnacentral:rRNA from 1 species